AGAGUUUGAUCAUGGCUCAGGACGAACGCUGGCGGCGUGCUUAACACAUGCAAGUCGAACGAGAAUCUGCGGAAAGAGGAUUCGUCCAAUUGAAGCAGAGGACAGUGGCGGACGGGUGAGUAACGCGUGAGGAACCUGCCUUUCAGAGGGGGACAACAGUUGGAAACGACUGCUAAUACCGCAUGACAUAUAGAUGUCGCAUGGCAUUUAUAUCAAAGAUUUAUCGCUGAAAGAUGGCCUCGCGUCUGAUUAGCUAGUUGGUGAGGUAACGGCCCACCAAGGCGACGAUCAGUAGCCGGACUGAGAGGUUGAACGGCCACAUUGGGACUGAGAUACGGCCCAGACUCCUACGGGAGGCAGCAGUGGGGAAUAUUGGGCAAUGGGCGCAAGCCUGACCCAGCAACGCCGCGUGAAGGAAGAAGGCUUUCGGGUUGUAAACUUCUUUUUGUCAGGGACGAGUAGAAGAACGGUACCUGACGAAUAAAGCCACGGCUAAACUACGU
rnacentral:rRNA from 1 species